rnacentral:lncRNA from 1 species
GAGGUGCUUAAAAGAAAUGAGAGGUUGGUAGCUAAUUCUUUUCACAGAGAGCUCCUGGGUGAUGCACACCUUAAGGAUCAUGGACUACAACAUGGAGAAUUUAUUUGUUGGAAGAGGAAUCCAAUAAAAGACUCUUUGCAGCCCUGUUGGAAAGGACCAUAUCAGGUAUGACUACUGAAAACCAUGCUUCACCGGAACACUUUCUAAGGCCUUCCCCGAUUAUAACCCUCACUCUGACUCAGAUGGGAAGAAUUGAUCCUUUGAUGGAAGCUCUGCCAGAGUGGGAAGCCGCCUCCUCACACGGAGGGAAGCAGAUCCUGGGCCGCUAUUCUCCACCAGCCA